GAUGAACGCUGGCGGCGUGCUUAACACAUGCAAGUCGAACGAAGCAUAUUUAACGGAGUUUUCGGACAAAGUUUUAUAUGACUUAGUGGCGGACGGGUGAGUAACGCGUGAGUAACCUGCCUUACACAGGGGGAUAACAGUUAGAAAUGACUGCUAGUACCGGAUGAUGCACAUUGGUCGCAUGUCCGAUGUGCCAAAGAUCCGUUGUGCAAAGAUGGGCUCGCGUCUGAUUAGAUAGUUGGUGAGGUAACGGCUCACCAAGUCGACGAUCAGUAGCCGGACUGAGAGGUUGAACGGCCACAUUGGAACCUGAGAUACGGUCCAGACUCCUACGGGAGGCA
rnacentral:rRNA from 1 species